rnacentral:rRNA from 1 species
UACGAAGGGGGCUAGCGUUGCUCGGAAUUACUGGGCGUAAAGCGUGCGUAGGCGGUUCGUUAAGUCUGCUGUGAAAGCCCCGGGCUCAACCUGGGAAUGGCAGUGGAUACUGGCGAGCUAGAGUGUGAUAGAGGAUGGUGGAAUUCCCGGUGUAGCGGUGAAAUGCGUAGAGAUCGGGAGGAACAUCAGUGGCGAAGGCGGCCAUCUGGAUCAACACUGACGCUGAGGCACGAAAAGCGUGGGGGAGCAAACAGG